rnacentral:rRNA from 1 species
UUCCGGUAAGGUGACCUGCGGAAGGAUCAUUACCGAGUGCAGGUCUGCCCCCGGGCAGGCCUAACCUCCCACCCGUGAAUACCUGACCAACGUUGCUUCGGCGGUGCGCCCCCCCCGGGGGCAGCCGCCGGAAACCMCCCCGAACCUCUUGUUAUARCGUGGCCUCUGAGCUUGAUACAAGCAAACCUAAUUAAAACUUUCAACAAUGGAUCUCUUGGUUCCCGGAUCSAUGAAGAACGCAGCGAACUGGSAUAAGUAAUGUGAAUUGCAGAAUUCAGUGAAUCAUCSAGUCUUUGAACGCACAUUGCGCCCCCUGGCAUUCCSGGGGGCAUGGCUGUCCSAACGUCAUUGCUGCCCUUCAAGCCCGGCUUGUGUGUUGGGUCGUCGUCCCCCCCGGGGGACGGGCCCGAAAGGCAGCGGCGGCACCGCGUCCUGGUCCUCGAGCGUAUGGGGCUUUGUCACCCGCUCGUUUARGGCCSGCCGGGCGCCAGCCGACGUCUCCAAACCUUUUAUUUUACCAAGUUGACCUCGGAUCAAGKAGGGAUACCCGCUGAACUUAAGCAUAUCAAUUAAGCGGAGGAA